rnacentral:rRNA from 1 species
GUAAUACGUAGGGUGCAAGCGUUAAUCGGAAUUACUGGGCGUAAAGCGUGCGCAGGCGGUUUGUUAAGACAGAUGUGAAAUCCCCGGGCUCAACCUGGGAACUGCAUUUGUGACUGGCAAGCUAGAGUAUGGCAGAGGGGGGUGGAAUUCCGCGUGUAGCAGUGAAAUGCGUAGAUAUGCGGAGGAACACCGAUGGCGAAGGCAGCCCCCUGGGCCAAUACUGACGCUCAUGCACGAAAGCGUGGGGAGCAAACAGGAUUAGAUACCCUGGUAGUCCACGCCCUAAACGAUGUCAACUAGUUGUUGGGGAUUCAUUUCCUUAGUAACGUAGCUAACGCGUGAAGUUGACCGCCUGGGGAGUACGGUCGCAAGAUUAAAACUCAAAU